rnacentral:rRNA from 1 species
GACGAACGCUGGCGGCGUGCUUAACACAUGCAAGUCGUACGGUAAGGCCCUUUCGGGGGUACACGAGUGGCGAACGGGUGAGUAACACGUGAGUAACCUGCCCACAACUUUGGGAUAACGCUAGGAAACUGGUGCUAAUACUGGAUAUGUGCUCCUGCUGCAUGGUGGGGGUUGGAAAGCUCCGGCGGUUGUGGAUGGACUCGCGGCCUAUCAGCUUGUUGGUGGGGUAGUGGCCUACCAAGGCGGCGACGGGUAGCCGGCCUGAGAGGGUGACCGGCCACAGUGGGACUGAGAUACGGCCCAGACGCCUACGGGGGGCAGCAGUGGGGAAUAUUGCACAAUGGGCGCAAGCCGGAUGCAGCAACGCCGCGGGCGGGAUGACGGCCUUCGGGUUGUAAACCGCUUUCAGCAGGGACGAAGCUUUUUGUGACGGUACCUGCAGAAGAAGCACCGGCUAACUACGUG